CCCCCACUCUCUCAGGGCAGACCCUAAUUUCACCUCUCUCCCUCUCUCCCUCUCUAACAUAGAACAAACGGACCCCCUCCUAGAAAGAAAAACCCUAGCCGACGCCUCAUCUCUCACUCUCUCAUCUGCAUACAUGCUCACUCACUCACUCACUCCCCUAUCCUCACAUAAUACACACCCACACUCAUAGACUCAUUUUCUCCACCUCAAGUUUAUUGUUGAGAUCUGAAAUCUGAGGCGACGAGAAAACACACAAGAGCAGCAGUUAAAAAUACUUCAAAUAGCCUAAAAAUGUUAGUUUAGAUCAGUAGUUUCAAGGAGCUGUUUGGCUUUCUGUUGAUUUGCUUGGUAGUUUUCUGGUUUUCUAUGAGUGAUUAAACUCUCAAAUCACUGUUGGUGGCUGCUGAUUCACUUCACUGUUGAGCUCCAGAUUUAACUUUUAUCAUUGUUUCUCUCUAUUAUGUUUCCACAUCAAGAUAAUUACAGUACAAGCCAUUCUCAUAUACUAACUUUUUUGAGACACUUUCAAAGUGGUGCUGCUAAAAGAGAAACAGCCACACCACUGCCAGGAUUACAAUUAUUAAUGCAGGAGAUGGCCCUAGACAACAUCCAACAUGGGCUUUAGUCUUGAGGCUUUGUCAAGAAGAUGGGAGUUGUUAAAAAGUGAAGGAGAAGGAAAUAGCGGUUGAAACUUGAAGCAUAAGUUGAGGAAGACGGGGAACGCACACCACGACACUGGUCACUGCUUCUGCCACUGCUGUGGUAGAUACUGAGAAUAAUGAUAUUAGCCAAGAUAGAAGAAGCGCCGGCAAUAGCAAUAGCAAUAGCACAGCAACAGAAACACCAAAAACUUAGUAGGUGUUUGGACAUAAGUAUUGUGAAAUUCCGGGAGAAAGUGAUUUUUGUUUUUUAAGUGAAUAUGGUAUUUAAAAAUUAGAGUUGUUUGGAUAUUAAUACAAUUUGGAACUGUUUUUAAA